rnacentral:lncRNA from 1 species
GCCAUAGAAUUCGUCCUCUUCUCCAUUAGCUUCUUCAGUACUGUAAUCAUUGUUCCAAACUGGUUUAUCUUCUUUUGGUGCAUCUUCUUCAGAGCCCUCAGGUUCCAAAAGGCAUUCUUCUUUGCUGGUUUUCUGUGAAUUUUUCCAUAUUGGGUUAAAGAUGUUUCCUAAAUCUAAACUAAAUCUUCCAUAAAUAUCUCGUAGAAUAUUUUCUCCCACGUUUUUCUCCUUCUCACACGAUCUUUAUCUCUUCGUUUUUUGUGUGUUCUCUCUUCUUUAUUCACAAAAUCAUCUCUUCUCUCUAUCAAUACAACAUGGUUCUAAUCUAUGUUAAAUUUGGUGAAUGGAUGUCUAGUUGCAGUGAAGAGUGGAGUUUCGUAGUAGACAAAGAAAGGUGUGGUCGAAUGGUAACAUUAGAAACUACUAGUCCAUUAGAAACUACUACUCUAUCUGCAGAGGACAAUAAAAUAGAGACGCACUCUUUUGAACAGUGUGGAAGGCUUUCAUUAUUAGAUUGGGAAAGAUGAUGAAUGUAAUUUCAGAGAUUUUUGUCAAAAAAGUAAUAAUAAUCAAUGUUGUUGAGAUCAAUUCACAAUGUAAGAUGAGAUCACAAAAUAAUAUAUUCAUUAUAUUCUGCUUCAUCUUGAUUUUCAUAUUCAAGAUCAGCUCCGCCAUAGAAUUCGUCCUCUUCUCCAUUAGCUUCUUCAGUACUGUAAUCAUUGUUCCAAACUGGUUUAUCUUCUUUUGGUGCAUCUUCUUCAGAGCCCUCAGGUUCCAAAAGGCAUUCUUCUUUGCUGGUUUGCUGUGAAUUUUUCACUUGGUCACCAACAACAACUGGUUCUCCAACUUAGUCAUCUUUGGAGAGUUCUC